UUUUCUUUUAAGGGUAAUUUAGGAAAUUGUUAUUACUAAUUAAAUUAAUUAAUUAAUUAAUUUAAUAAAGUGGAAGAGGGGUAAAAGUGUAAUUUUACGAAUAAAUACCCUAGGUAUAAAUUAGAAAUUUUAUUCUUUCCCUUCUUUUUUGAAUAGAGUUCCUGUUCGCAGAAUUCCAGAGAACGUAAGGUUGGUGUCAGAUUUCAGGGUUGAAGAACAGAUCUCUAUAGGUGAAGAGUAGAUUAUAUCUUUUUCAGAAUUAUUCUUCUCCCAAGCUUUCAAGGACUUCUUUUGAGGUACUCUUAGUUCGGGUGAGGAGUGAUGGCUAGGCUGAGGAAUGGUCAUCAUUAGGAUUUGACUUAGGAUUUUAUGUUGGAUUUUGUUUAACUAUUAGUUAUGUUAUUUUGAAUCAUUUGGUAUUUGGAAGUUAUUUGGAAAUUGAAUUUUGAGGAUUUUAGAUUUUGUUUCC